UGACCAACGCAGUUAUUGGGAAGUUCACUUAACUAGGGACACAUAGACAAGUGCAUUCGUCCAUGGAUGCUACAUUUCCCUGACGGCACAUUGGGUGAAUGUUGUGGAGGCCGGGAGCGAGUCGUACCCUGGGAUGGCACAGGUGCUACCACUGCCAAGGAUUGCGGGCCCUACGUCGAUCAGG